rnacentral:ncRNA from 2 species
UGUUCUCGGGGCGGGGUGGAAUUCCCCACCGGCGGUAAAAAGGCUAGAAUUCCGGCCUUUAAGCCCGCGAGCGCCUUCGGACCGAGCUGUAGUUUCGGUUCAAGGGGUCAGCAGACUCGGUGCAAAUCCGAGGCCGACGGUUACAGUCCGGAUGAAAGAGAACG